UACGAAGGGGGCUAGCGUUGUUCGGAAUUACUGGGCGUAAAGCGCACGUAGGCGGGUCGUUAAGUCAGGGGUGAAAUCCCGGAGCUCAACUCCGGAACUGCCUUUGAUACUGGCGACCUCGAGACCGGAAGAGGUUAGUGGAAUUCCCAGUGUAGAGGUGAAAUUCGUAGAUAUUGGGAAGAACACCAGUGGCGAAGGCGGCUAACUGGUCCGGUACUGACGCUGAGGUGCGAAAGCGUGGGGAGCAAACAGG
rnacentral:rRNA from 1 species